GUUAGAAACUAAUCAAAGACCUGAGCUCAGGCAGAACUCUGGAUUUUGCAGAGUCGUGUUAACCGUUAGGUCUAAUUAUAAAUUUAUUGUUGAUACUUGAUAGUCGAUAGAAAUAGCGACUUUGCAUCUUGAAUAAUUUCGUAAGCUUUAUGACAAAAUUAUCAACGUCUUCUUGAUAUUUAAUAAAUACUUAAGGGAAUUGGGGCCCAGUAAUUUCUUAAACAGUUCUGAUAUUUCUUCCAGUUGUUAUGUUUUAUCCGGUUUGGUCUGCCUUCCUCUAGACUAUCCUUGCUAUUUAUUUACAAGCAGCAUAUAUACUGCAAGGAUAUAUAAAAAGCAAAUAUAUAUAUACUGACCACUCGCUGUGAUGCUAUCUGUUGUUUCACAUUUAGAAAUAAGUUGUGACAUGCUGUCAUUAGCUACAAUAAUAUCAAUCCAAUUUUUUCCUACAGAAAUUGUAUAGGAAGGCAGUUGGCCAGUAUUCAUAGAAGUGAGGUUGUAUUGAUUCAUAAAUUCAGUAACCUUAACUUCUAUUGUCUUCUAUAUUGUUAUAUUAUAUUGGAGGUUUCGAAUUUUCGAAUGGCAAAAAUGAUUGGUUUACGUUCCAUUAUGGAACGUAAACCAAUCAUUUUUACGUAAACUAAUCAUUAAUUACUCUGGUAAGUUUUUCAUCUAUAUCACAAGUGGACGGAGCAUAAAGAGAGAUGAGGAAGAAUUCCGUAUGAGUUUUAAUGUUUACUAUAAUGAUGUAUUCGUUACUUAAUUAGCUAAUUUGCAUAGAAUCAAUGAUAUUGUUCCUAAUGAUUUUACCAGUUUUCAUUUUAAACUUGGGAUUAAGCUCUGGGAAAGUCAAGAAUUUAUCAAAAAGUACAGUUUUAUUGUUGAUUGUAUAUGGUUUUUGUAGCAUGAUUAUAUCAAUAUUAUUUUCAAUUGCAUGCCGUUCUUGAAGCUGCUUUACAGCGCUGUAUGUUAAUUUGGAUUAUUUUAAUAUCUUUAAAAUGGUAGCUAUCCUCAUGAAUAAUACUGUUAUUAUUCUCAGAAUCUCCUUCGUUAUCCAGAUUAGUGUCUGUUAUAAGUUAGAUUAGUGUCUGAAUAUAAGUUCCUGAGAUAACUAUUUCUCAUGAAGUUAUACAAAAUCCGUAUAUGUCAAAAUGACAGAAGAUACAAAAAUAAAUUAAUUAAUUUAAUUAUUUUCUUUAAAUUUAAAGAUAAAUAGUAUCCACUGAGUUCUGGUAUUGUUAAAAUAUAAUGUAUUAAAACAAUUGAUAUGGAAAUAAAUAAAGAAUAAAAUAGUAAAAAAUGCAUAAAAUAUCAAAAAAUUAUUUAAUUCAGAACUGUUGUCUUAUUACUCCGAAUAAAAUCCGUUUUUACGUAUAAAUUCAACGAAAAAAGACAUAUAGGAAUAUUUAUUUUCUGAUUAAGGUUGGAAUAAGGCUUAUCCAAAUGGAAAUUAAAUAAGUUAAUUGUUAUACAGGAUGAUCGAUUUACAGUGUGAUAAGAGAUUUUUCGCAACAACAUUAGAUAUGUAAAGGAUAGGAACUGGGUUGGAUGUGAUGUAUCUCUCUUCACCUCUAGAUUUCGUUUUUUGUACCAUCAAAAAAAUAAUAAAAAAAAUAAGAAAAAGGGAAGAAACAGAAAAAGGAAUUCAGAGAGGAGAGAGAGAGACGCAUCAAAAAGGUGAUAUAAGACAAGGUAUCGUAUACCCAACACGUGGACUUUUGUCCCCGAUACAAUUAAAUCAUGUAGUAAUAAUAUACACAUAUUCGGGUGAUAAUCAAUGUUCUAAAUAACGUCGUCUUGGUAAAGA
rnacentral:lncRNA from 1 species